AGCGAACGCUGGCGGCAGGCCCAACACAUGCAAGUCGAACGAACUCUUCGGAGUUAGUGGCGGACGGGUGAGUAACACGUGGGAACGUGCCUUUUGGUUCGGAAUAACUCAGGGAAACUUGUGCUAAUACCGAAUGUGCCCUUCGGGGGAAAGAUUUAUCGCCAUUAGAGCGGCCCGCGUCUGAUUAGCUAGUUGGUGAGGUAACGGCUCACCAAGGCGACGAUCAGUAGCUGGUCUGAGAGGAUGACCAGCCACACUGGGACUGAGACACGGCCCAGACUCCUACGGGAGGGCGCAGGGGGGGAUCUUGCGCAAUGGGCGAAAGGCUGACGGCGCCCUGGCGCGUGAAUGAUGAAGGUCUUAGGAAUGUAAAAUUCUUUCACCGGGGACGGUAAUGACGGUACCCGGAGAAGAAGCCCCGGCUAACUUCGUG
rnacentral:rRNA from 1 species